rnacentral:ncRNA from 2 species
ACAAUACGACAGGUUAUCGGUUCUGGUGGGGAGCAGUCAUCAGACGCAAGGGGGAAAGAGCAGUGAAAGUCUGCCGCUGUCCCGCAACUGUAUUGAGAUGGGAGAAAAUCUCUAAGUCAGAAUGCCCGCCGAUGGUAGUCCUGUUUC